GAUGAACGCUGGCGGCGUGCCUAAUACAUGCAAGUCGAGCGAACAGACGAGGAGCUUGCUCCUCUGACGUUAGCGGCGGACGGGUGAGUAACACGUGGAUAACCUACCUAUAAGACUGGGAUAACUUCGGGAAACCGGAGCUAAUACCGGAUAAUAUAUUGAACCGCAUGGUUCAAUAGUGAAAGACGGUUUUGCUGUCACUUAUAGAUGGAUCCGCGCCGCAUUAGCUAGUUGGUAAGGUAACGGCCUACCAAGGCAACGAUGCGUAGCCGACCUGAGAGGGUGGUCGGCCACACUGGAACUGAGACACGGUCCAUACUCCUACGGGAGGCAGCAGUAGGGAAUCUUCCGCAAUGGGCGAAAGCCUGACGGAGCAACGCCGCGUGAGUGAUGAAGGUCUUCGGAUCGUAAAACUCUGUUAUUAGGGAAGAACAAAUGUGUAAGUAACUAUGCACGUCUUGACGGUACCUAAUCAGAAAGCCACGGCUAACUACGUG
rnacentral:rRNA from 1 species